GCCAGUGUGGUAUAGUGGCUUCAGCGCUGGACUAGAACUCCAGUGAGCAAGGUUUGAUUCCCUGAUCUGUCA